rnacentral:rRNA from 1 species
AGAGUAAAAUAGUACGUGAAAUUGUUGAAAGGGAAACGAUUGAAGCCAAUCGUACUUCGGGAAAUCAACUUCUCGAGUGCUUGUCGUGGAUGACGUUGAGCUUCACGGCCUUCGUUGCUUGCGUUAUGGUGCUUUUGAGGUGUACUUUUCCGUAGACAGUCAACAUCGAUUUUGAUCGUCAUAAAAUGAUCGGAGGAAUGUAGCUUCGAUCUUGUAUUGAAGUGUUAUAGCCUUCGGCAGAUGUGAUGAUCGGGAUUGAGGAUUGCAACGGAUACCCUUCGGGGCUACCCGUCUGAUCUCUGAUAGUUGCUCUGGUGCCGAAAGCGUGCUUAUGGUAUUGAGGUAUUACGGUCAAAAGGUUAGAACGGAUUACAUUCGUUAAGGAUGUUGACGUAAUGGCUUUAAACGACC